GGGUGAGUAACGCGUAUGCAACCUGCCCGUUUCAGCGGGAUAACCCGGAGAAAUCCGGCCUAAUACCGCAUGUGGCCGAGGGGAGGCAUCUUCUUUCGGCCAAAGGAGGCGACUCCGGAGACGGAUGGGCAUGCGUGACAUUAGCUUGUUGGCGGGGUAACGGCCCACCAAGGCGACGAUGUCUAGGGGUUCUGAGAGGAAGGUCCCCCACACUGGUACUGAGACACGGACCAGACUCCUACGGGAGGCAGCAGUGAGGAAUAUUGGUCAAUGGGCGAGAGCCUGAACCAGCCAAGUCGCGUGAAGGAUGACGGCCCUACGGGUUGUAAACUUCUUUUGUCAGGGAGCAAUUGAGUCCACGUGUGGGCUUAGCGAGAGUACCUGAAGAAAAAGCAUCGGCUAACUCCGUGCCAGCAGCCGCGGUAAUACGGAGGAUGCGAGCGUUAUCCGGAUUUAUUGGGUUUAAAGGGUGCGUAGGCGGAAUAUCAAGUCAGCGGUAAAAAUUCGGGGCUCAACCCCGUCGUGCCGUUGAAACUGAUGUUCUUGAGUGGGCGAGAAGUAUGCGGAAUGCGUGGUGUAGCGGUGAAAUGCAUAGAUAUCACGCAGAACUCCGAUUGCGAAGGCAGCAUACCGGCGCCCAACUGACGCUGAAGCACGAAAGCGUGGGUAUCGAACAGGAUUAGAUACCCUGGUAGUCCACGCAGUAAACGAUGAAUGCUAAUUGUCCGGA
rnacentral:rRNA from 1 species